GAUGAACGCUAGCUACAGGCUUAACACAUGCAAGUCGAGGGGAAACGAUAGAGAAAGCUUGCUUUUUCUAGGCGUCGACCGGCGCACGGGUGAGUAACGCGUAUCCAACCUGCCCACCACUUGGGGAUAACCUUGCGAAAGUAAGACUAAUACCCAAUGACGUCUCUAGAAGACAUCUGAAAGAGAUUAAAGAUUUAUCGGUGAUGGAUGGGGAUGCGUCUGAUUAGCUUGUUGGCGGGGUAACGGCCCACCAAGGCGACGAUCAGUAGGGGUUCUGAGAGGAAGGUCCCCCACAUUGGAACUGAGACACGGUCCAAACUCCUACGGGGAGGCAGCAGUGAGGAAUAUUGGUCAAUGGACGAGAGUCUGAACCAGCCAAGUAGCGUGCAGGAUGACGGCCCUAUGGGUUGUAAACUGCUUUUAUAAGGGAAUAAAGUGAGUCUCGUGAGACUUUUUUGCAUGUACCUUAUGAAUAAGGACCGGCUAAUUCCGUG
rnacentral:rRNA from 1 species